ACCUCUGCCUCUCUUUCUCUUCCUCUCUCAGUGUCGGCGGCGCAGGGCGUGGGGAGCGGCAGCCGGCGGCGCGUCUCCGUCCCUGUUCACUGUCACCUCCCUCGUCGUCGUCGCGGACCUCUCAAGGUGUUGGGCCCUAUGGCGCCAGCGCUGAGCAGGAGCCUGGGGGCGUCGUCGGUGGCGGCGCUGCGGCCGAGCCCGUCGCGUUUGUGUUUUGUUGUGCUGUUUGCUGUAGUCUGGUUUACGGCGUGGUUAAUUGAGAUGUGCAUCUCAUGGUCACUGUUUAGGAGCUCUAGGUACUUGCUUCAAAUUUCUUGUCGACUUGCAUUUGCGCUGAGUUUGUGUUGUGUUAGUGGGAUUUGGCCCGAUGCUGGUGCAAAACGUUUGGAUUUGUUUGCUCUUAUGGAGCAAGUCAAAGAUUUUGAGCUGUUUGGGGGUCGGGAUGAUAGUUUCUCGACAUUUAGUUUUCCGCUAAUGCUUUGAAUUUUGGUGUUUCUCAUGGAUGUGUUCGAGUCUGAGAUGCAAAAGUAAGCGUCGGGUGCUCAAUUUCAUCUGCAUGAUGCUCUUAGAUGUACACUUAAUCUGGUCAACUUCAAUCGGAUACUGAAUAUAGGUUGUCUGUGCCAUCGCCAGAUUCAUUAGCCAAUAACUGAAUAAAGAUGCGCUUUUUUUUUAUUUUGCGUGGAUGAUUUGGCUGUCACUCAAGACAAGUGGAAUUGUACAGAUGUUAUUUGCUGCUUUCUUGCCGUUACAUAGUGUUUCGAGUUCUAGCUAUGAUAAUUUUGUCUCUUUUGCUGUAACGUCAAUCAGUUGCAUACUUAGGAAAGCACAAUGGUCAAAUGGGAUAAUAACUGUUUCCAGCCUGUUGUGAGUCAUUGUUCACUAGUCAUUAACUCUUUUUAUUAUGAUUUUGAUUCUUCAGUGUCACAUGCAAUUGGAUCUUCUUCCAUUUGGUUGGUUUAAGCCAAUUUUGUUCUCGUGUUGAUACUGUUGCUUCCAGAGCACAAACUUUUCAUUGGGAUGCUUCCAAAAAAUGUUACUGAUGCUGAAAUGACUGAUUUAUUUUCACAAUAUGAGAGCAUCAAGGAUUUACAAAUUUCGAGAGGUUCACAACAGACAAGCAAAGCUGGCUGUGCCUUUUUGAAGUAUGGAACAAAAGAGCAAGCUUUGGCCGCCAUCGAAGCUCUAAAGGGGAAGCACAAUAUAGAGGAACUACCAACAACUUGACAAACAAAUGAUUUAUCGGCAGCUAGCGAUGGCUGAUGGGAGCUACACCCUGGAUUAGUGGAUUGUGUGUGUUUCUCAGGAAGCCAUGUUUCGGGCCACCUCUUGUAAUUAGGUUGAAUCUGAGAUGAACUAUUGUUUGAAUUCUUUAUAUUCUAAUUGCAUCUAUUAUUACUUGAAUCUGAGAUGAUAUAUGUUAUUAGGUUUGAAUUUGAAAUGUACGAGAAAUUGGAUUGAA